GUAAGCUACUAAGAGCGAAUGGUGGAUGCCUUGACUGGUAAAGGCGAUGAAGGACGUACUAGACUGCGAUAAGCUACGGGGAGCUGUCAAGAAGCUUUGAUCCGUAGAUUUCCGAAUGGGGCAACCCAAUGUAUAGAGAUAUACAUUACCUAUAUAGGAGCGAACGAGGGGAAUUGAAACAUCUUAGUACCCUCAGGAAAAGAAAUCAAUAGAGAUUGCGUCAGUAGCGGCGAGCGAAAGCGCAAGAGGGCAAACCCAGUGCUUGCACUGGGGGUUGUAGGACUGCAAUGUGCAAGAGGUGAGUUUAGCAGAACAUUCUGGAAAGUAUAGCCAUAGAGGGUGAUAGUCCCGUAUGCGAAAAACAAACCUUAGCUAGCAGUAUCCUGAGUAGGGCGGGACACGAGAAAUCCUGUCUGAAGCUGGGUCGACCACGAUCCAACCCUAAAUACUAAUACCAGAUCGAUAGUGCACAAGUACCGUGAGGGAAAGGUGAAAAGAACUGAGGUGAUCAGAGUGAAAUAGAACCUGAAACCAUUUGCUUACAAUCAUUCAGAGCCCUAUGUAGCAAUACAGGGUGAUGGACUGCCUUUUGCAUAAUGAGCCUGCGAGUUGUGGUGUCUGGCAAGGUUAAGCAAACGCGAAGCCGUAGCGAAAGCGAGUCUGAAUAGGGCGCUUAGUCAGAUGCUGCAGACCCGAAACGAAGUGAUCUAUCCAUGAGCAAGUUGAAGCUAGUGUAAGAACUAGUGGAGGACUGAACCCAUAGGCGUUGAAAAGCCCCGGGAUGACUUGUGGAUAGGGGUGAAAGGCCAAUCAAACUUCGUGAUAGCUGGUUCUCUCCGAAAUAUAUUUAGGUAUAGCGUUGUGUCGUAAUAUAAGGGGGUAGAGCACUGAAUGGGCUAGGGCAUACACCAAUGUACCAAACCCUAUCAAACUCCGAAUACCUUAUAUGUAAUCACAGCAGUCAGGCGGCGAGUGAUAAAAUCCGUCGUCAAGAGGGAAACAACCCAGACUACCAGCUAAGGUCCCUAAAUCUUACUUAAGUGGAAAACGAUGUGAAGUUACUUAAACAACCAGGAGGUUGGCUUAGAAGCAGCCAUCCUUUAAAGAAAGCGUAAUAGCUCACUGGUCUAGUGAUUUUGCGCGGAAAAUAUAACGGGGCUAAAGUAAGUACCGAAGCUGUAGACUUGCGCACAACUUAGAUUAUUUAAGUUUAGAAUAUGAGAAACUAAGUUAUAUGUUUAGUUAUAUUUUUACUGAUUUUUAUAGAGUAAAGAUAGAAAUAAAACUUAGUAAAAUCAGUAAAAAUAUUCUUAGACUAAAGUUAAGUAGUUUAAGUUGUGUGCAAGUGGUAGGAGAGCGUUCUAUUUGCGUCGAAGGUAUACCGGUAAGGAGUGCUGGAGCGAAUAGAAGUGAGCAUGCAGGCAUGAGUAGCGAUAAUUAAUGUGAGAAUCAUUAACGCCGUAAACCCAAGGUUUCCUACGCGAUGCUCGUCAUCGUAGGGUUAGUCGGGUCCUAAGUCGAGUCCGAAAGGGGUAGACGAUGGCAAAUUGGUUAAUAUUCCAAUACCAACAUUAGUGUGCGAUGGAAGGACGCUUAGGGCUAAGGGGGCUAGCGGAUGGAAGUGCUAGUCUAAGGUCGUAGGAGGUUAUACAGGCAAAUCCGUAUAACAAUACUCCGAGAACUGAAAGGCUUUUUGAAGUCUUCGGAUGGAUAGAAGAACCCCUGAUGCCGUCGAGCCAAGAAAAGUUUCUAAGUUUAGCUAAUGUUGCCCGUACCGUAAACCGACACAGGUGGGUGGGAUGAGUAUUCUAAGGCGCGUGGAAGAACUCUCUUUAAGGAACUCUGCAAAAUAGCACCGUAUCUUCGGUAUAAGGUGUGGUUCGCUUCGUAUUAGGAUUUACUCCGAAAGCGAAGAAACUUACAACAAAGAGUCCCUCCCGACUGUUUACCAAAAACACAGCACUCUGCUAACUCGUAAGAGGAUGUAUAGGGUGUGACGCCUGCCCGGUGCUCGAAGGUUAAUUGAUGGGGUUAGCAUUAGCGAAGCUCUUGAUCGAAGCCCGAGUAAACGGCGGCCGUAACUAUAACGGUCCUAAGGUAGCGAAAUUCCUUGUCGGUUAAAUACCGACCUGCAUGAAUGGCGUAACGAGAUGGGAGCUGUCUCAAAGAGGGAUCCAGUGAAAUUGUAGUGGAGGUGAAAAUUCCUCCUACCCGCGGCAAGACGGAAAGACCCCGUGGACCUUUACUACAGCUUGACACUGCUAUUUGGAUAAGAAUGUGCAGGAUAGGUGGGAGGCUUUGAGUAUAUGACGCCAGUUGUAUAUGAGCCAUUGUUGAGAUACCACUCUUUCUUAUUUGGGUAGCUAACCAGCUUGAGUUAUCCUCAAGUGGGACAAUGUCUGGUGGGUAGUUUGACUGGGGCGGUCGCCUCCCAAAUAAUAACGGAGGCUUACAAAGGUUGGCUCAGAACGGUUGGAAAUCGUUCGUAGAGUAUAAAGGUAUAAGCCAGCUUAACUGCAAGACAUACAAGUCAAGCAGAGACGAAAGUCGGUCUUAGUGAUCCGGUGGUUCUGUGUGGAAGGGCCAUCGCUCAAAGGAUAAAAGGUACCCCGGGGAUAACAGGCUGAUCUCCCCCAAGAGCUCACAUCGACGGGGAGGUUUGGCACCUCGAUGUCGGCUCAUCGCAUCCUGGGGCUGGAGCAGGUCCCAAGGGUAUGGCUGUUCGCCAUUUAAAGCGGUACGCGAGCUGGGUUCAGAACGUCGUGAGACAGUUCGGUCCCUAUCUGCCGUGGGCGUAAGAAGAUUGAAGAGAUUUGACCCUAGUACGAGAGGACCGGGUUGAACAAACCACUG
rnacentral:rRNA from 1 species